rnacentral:rRNA from 1 species
UACGUAGGUGGCGAGCGUUGUCCGGAAUUACUGGGUGUAAAGGGCGAGUAGGCGGAUAGACAAGUCAGAUGUGAAAUACCACGGCUUAACUGUGGGGGUGCAUUUGAAACUGUAUAUCUUGAGUGAUGGAGAGGCAGGCGGAAUUCCUAGUGUAGCGGUGAAAUGCGUAGAUAUUAGGAGGAACACCAGUGGCGAAGGCGGCCUGCUGGACAUUAACUGACGCUGAGGUGCGAAGGCGUGGGGAUCAAACAGGAUUAGAUA